UGAGGAAUAUUGGUCAAUGGACGAUAGCCUGAACCAGCCAAGUAGCGUGAAGGAUGAAGGCUCUAUGGGUCGUAAACUUCUUUUAUAUAAGAAUAAAGUGCAGUAUGUAUACUGUUUUGUAUGUAUUAUAUGAAUAAGGAUCGGCUAACUCCGUGCCAGCAGCCGCGGUAAUACGGAGGAUCCGAGCGUUAUCCGGAUUUAUUGGGUUUAAAGGGAGCGUAGGUGGACUGGUAAGUCAGUUGUGAAAGUUUGCGGCUCAACCGUAAAAUUGCAGUUGAUACUGUCAGUCUUGAGUACAGUAGAGGUGGGCGGAAUUCGUGGUGUAGCGGUGAAAUGCUUAGAUAUCACGAAGAACUCCGAUUGCGAAGGCAGCUCACUGGACUGCAACUGACACUGAUGCUCGAAAGUGUGGGUAUCAAACAGG
rnacentral:rRNA from 1 species